CUGAGGAAACAUUUCCUUUUUCCAAAAAUAGCUCUGCUAUAGUAAUUACACUUUUUACAUAUCUUAGUUCUUUAGAAUUUUGAAAACAUUCUGAAUUAAUCUAAUAUUGUGUUGUUAUUUUUUUCCAUCUUUUCCAUCUUUCUUUCCAUCCUACAGCAGUGGUUAUCACAGUGCGUCCUGAGCCCUGGGAGUCCUCAGGCUGCUGUUGGGUGCCUGUCCUCCUGGGUGUGCAGUGGGGAGCACACCCCACAGGAGCCCCACGCUGGCACACGUUGGGCUGCUGCUGACGCUCUUUUUUUUUUUUUUUUUUUUAAACUUUCCAACUUUCAUUUUCGGCUCAAGGCGUACAUGUGCAGGUGUGUUACAUGUUCAUUGUCAGCUCAACGCGUACACGUGCAGGUGUGUUACGUGUUCAUUUUCGACUCAAGGCGUACACGUGCAGAUGUGUCACAUGUUCAUUUUCAGCUCAAGGCGUACACGUGCAGGUGUGUUACGUGUUCAUUUUCGACUCAAGGCGUACACGUGCAGAUGUGUCACAUGUUCAUUUUCGGCUCAAGGCGUACACGUGCAGGUGUGUUACGUGUUCAUUUUCGGCUCAAGGCUUACACGUGCAGGUGUGCCACAUGUUCAUUUUCGGUUCAAGGCGUACACGUGCAGGUGUGUUACGUGUUCAUUUUCGGCUCAAGGCGUACACGUGCAGGUGUGCCACAUGUUUAUUUUCGGUUCAAGGCGUACACGUGCAGGUGUGUUACGUGUUCAUUUUCGGCUCAAGGCGUACACGUGCAGGUGUGUCACAUGGGUAAAUCAAGUGUCACUGGGGUUUGGUGUGCAGAUAAUUUUGUUGCCCAGGUAAUCAGCACAGUACCUGAUGUUUUUCAGUCUUCACCCUCCUCCCAUUCUCCACCCUCUACAUUUUCCUUUAAAAAAAAGUUUUCCUCCCAGCACUUUGGGAGGCUGAGGCGGGCAGAUCACGAGGUCAGGAGUUCGAGAUCACCCUGACUAACAUGGUGAAACCCUGUCUCUACUAAAAAUACAAAAAUUAGCCAGGUGUGGUGGCGGACGCCUUAAUCCCAGCUACUCAGGAGGCUGAGGCAGGAGAAUCGCUUGAACCCAGGGAGCAGAGGUUGCAGUGAGCCGAGAUCGCGCCAUUGCACUCCAGCCUGGGCGACAGAGCAAGACUCCCUCUCAAAAAAAAAAAAAAAAAAAAAAAAUUUCCUGGCCGGGUGGGGUGGCUGACACCUAUAAUCUCAGCACUUUGGGAGACCGAGGCAGGCGGAUUACUUGAGUUCAGGAGUUUGAGACCAGCUUGGCCAAUAUGGGGAAACCCCAUCUCUACUAAAAACACAAAAAUGAGCCGGACGUGGUGGCGUGUGCCUGGAAUCCCAGCUACUCAGGAGGCUGAGGCAGGAGAAUCACUUGAACCCAGGAGGCGGAGGUUGCAGCGAGCCGGGAUCGCGCCACUGCACUCCAGCCUGGGCAACAGAGCAAGACUCUGUCUUAAAAAAAAAAAAGUUUCCCUGAUUAAAAAAUACACAUUUGAAAACCACUGGUUUUGCCUUUCUGUGUGAAGGCUGACUCAGAACCGGGUUUUAUCAUUUCUUUGGCAGUAGCACUAAUGAGUUUCUGUAUUUCUUGCUGAGUUUUUUCUGUGACUGAUACAUUCAUUUAUGAGGGUGGUUUAAUACAUAGAGGGAAUUUUUCUCUGUGUGAAAUGUGUUGGCCAGAAUUGGGACCAGCCAUUAUCUCCUCAGUACUAAACCUAGAUUUGAACCUAAGGUAUCACUCAUUACUUAUUAUUUAUUGAAUACCUUAUAUUCAAUAAUAUUGUACAAUAUGA